rnacentral:rRNA from 1 species
AACGAACGCUGGCGGCAGGCCUAAUACAUGCAAGUCGAACGCUCGUAGCAAUACGAGAGUGGCAGACGGGUGAGUAACACGUGGGAACCUUCCCUAUGGUUCGGAAUAGCUCAGGGAAACUUGAGGUAAUACCGGAUAAGCCCUUACGGGGAAAGAUUUAUCGCCAUUGGGUGGGCCCCGCGUCGGAUUAGCUAGUUGGUGGGGUAACGGCCUACCAAGGCGACGACGGGUAGCCGGCCUGAGAGGGCGACCGGCCACACUGGGACUGAGACACGGCCCAGACUCCUACGGGAGGCAGCAGUGGGGAAUCUUGCGCAAUGGGCGAAAGCCUGACGCAGCGACGCCGCGUGAGGGAUGACGGCCU